CACGUAGGGGCGAGCGUUGUCCGGAAUUACUGGGCGUAAAGGGCGCGCAGGCUGUUAUGCGAGUCUGCUGUAAAAUGUACCGGCUCAACCGGUGCCUUGCGGAGGAUACUGCAUAGCUGGAGUACUGGAGAGGGAAGUGGAAUUCCCGGUGUAGCGGUGAAAUGAGUAGAUAUCGGGAGGAACACCGGUGGCGAAGGCGGCUUUCUGGCCAGUUACUGACGCUCAUGCGCGAAAGCUGGGGUAGCGAACCGGAUUAGAUACCCUGGUA
rnacentral:rRNA from 1 species